UGUUAUAUUUACAACUAUUAUUGUCUAAACAAUCAUUAUUGGGCAAAAAUAUAUAAGAUUACAGACCAUUCUGGAUGCGGCAUCUGUCCAACUUGUACAGCAGGCAUGAGCAGUUCCUGUGUGACAUUGGCCGAGGUCCUGUGGGCAAGAGGAAGCCCUCUGGAGGAAGAAGAAAUAUGGGCACUCCUGUACCUGUCCACAAUGCAGCUUCUGGAGGAUCUUCACAAAGACCCUGCCAUCUAUGUGAUUUGCCCAUGGUCAGUACUACUGUCUACUGAAGGAAAUUUGUUCUUCCAAAACAAUGCAUCUCAGACAGAAGCUGCCCCUUUCAGUGCACCAGAAUUGCUCCACAGCCCACGUAAAAAACAGCACUUUGGACUA